GUAUUUGGGGACAAAGAGGAAGCGGCCUACACAAAGGGGGCAGAGAAUGGAGUUGGAAGAGUGUGUUAUGAAGUGUGAGAAGAGAGAGAAAUACCUGUGUGAUUACCUGUUGUGACCUGGACUGUCUGAUUACCCCACUUGUGUACAGGUUUGGUUGAGGACCCGAGUUUUAGGAUUACCCCUGAAGAACGGAACAGACAAUGAGAACGGAUUGUGGACUGUGAAACGGAUCGCAAGGGACCUGGUGGGACCUCUACCCAAGAGCAACCGGGGGCACCAAUACAUCCUGGUGAUUCUGGAUUAUGCCACCUGGUACCCAGAAGCCAUUCCCCUGCGCACCAUGGCCACCAAGGGAAUUGCACACCGAUGGGUUGGUGGAAAGAUUCAAUCAAAACCUGAAGCAGAUGCUAAAGAAGGUGAUGGAGGUGGACGGAAGGAAUUGGGAUCAGCUGCUACCCAACCUGAUGUUCUCGAUCCGAGAAGUGCCCCAAGCGUCAACAGGACUCUCUCCCUUCUCUCCCACAGAUCAGGUGCAGCCCAUGGAAAUGCCAAUGCCCUCUCCAGGAGGGACGCUCUAGGGAGCUGGACCGCCACUCCCUCCCAGUGUGGCAGACAGCAGCGUGAGGUGAGUGGUUAUUGAAGGGAUAUCUUGCAGCCUGCUGGCUCCACCCCCGAGUCUUAUAUGGACUUCCUGCCCCAAUGAGGCGAGCCUGUUGCUCAUUAAGCCAGGGAGUACUUGGGGAUAAAAGAGGAAGCAGCCUGCACAAAGGGGCAGAGAACGGACAGGGAAGCAUGUAGAGUGAGAAGAGAGAGAAAUAUCUGUGUGAUUACAUGUUGUGACUUGGACUGUUUGAUUACCCCAUUGUGUACCGACUCAGUUUGGCUGAGGACCCGAGUUUUAGGAUUACCCCUGGAGAACGGAACGAACAACAAGAACAGAUUGUGGACUGUGGGUUGGUGAAUUCCCCCUUUUCCCCAGUGUGCAAAACUCCCUAAUAAACUCCCCAUUUGCA